rnacentral:tRNA from 1 species
UCUUCGAUAGCUCAGUUGGUAGAGCGGAGGACUGUAGAUCCUUAGGUCGCUGGUUCAACUCCGGCUCGAAGGAA